rnacentral:rRNA from 1 species
GAUGAACGCUGGCGGCGUGCCUAAUACAUGCAAGUCGAGCGAACAGACGAGGAGCUUACUCCUCUGACGUUAGCGGCGGACGGGUGAGUAACACGUGGAUAACCUACCUAUAAGACUGGGAUAACUUCGGGAAACCGGAGCUAAUACCGGAUAACAUGUUGAACCGCAUGGUUCAACAGUGAAAGACGGUCUUGCUGUCACUUAUAGAUGGAUCCGCGUCGCAUUAGCUAGUUGGUAAGGUAACGGCUUACCAAGGCAACGAUGCGUAGCCGACCUGAGAGGGUGAUCGGCCACACUGGAACUGAGACACGGUCCAGACUCCUACGGGAGGCAGCAGUAGGGAAUCUUCCGCAAUGGGCGAAAGCCUGACGGAGCAACGCCGCGUGAGUGAAGAAGGUCUUCGGAUCGUAAAACUCUGUUAUUAGGGAAGAACAAAUGUGUAAGUAACUAUGCACGUCUUGACGGUACCUAAUCAGAAAGCCACGGCUAACUACGCG